GAUGAAGAACGUAGCAAAAUGCGAUACUUGGUGUGAAUUGCAGAAUCCCGCGAACCAUCGAGUCUUUGAACGCAAGUUGCGCCCGAGGCCACUCGGCCGAGGGCACGCCUGCCUGGGCGUCACGCCAAAACACGCUCCCAACCCCCCUCAUCGGGAAUAGGGAUGCGGCAUAUGGUCCCUCGUCUCGCAAGGGGCGGUGGGCCGAAGAUCGGGCUGCCGGCGGACCGCGCCGGACACAGCGCAUGGUGGGCGUCCUCGCUUUAUCAACGCAGUGCAUCCGACGCGUAGCCGGCGUGAUGGCCUCAAAACGACCCAGCAAACGAAGCGCACGUCGCUUCGACCGCGACCCCAGGUCAGGCGGGACUACCCGCUGAGUUUAAGCAUAUCAAUAAGCGGAGGA
rnacentral:misc_RNA from 1 species